GCAGGAAGAUGUCGCAGGAGGUGCGAGUGCCCGAGGCUGAUAAGAUAUGGAGUGUGUAGCGGCAGUAUCUGGCGUGUCACUUGUUCCGCUUCAUGAAAAGGUGGGACCAAAGCAGCAGGGAGGAAAAUGUCAUCACAAUGUCAGGUUUAGCUCGCAGUGGAAUGUCGGCACUCUGGAGAGCACGCACCCAUCCCGAUACCCGUUGGGGUUGAGCGAUGUAAAAAAAAUGGGGUCGUCCCCCAUCUGAAGAGUAAAGAAGGAAAAUCUCAGAAGAAGACAGUCUUGAUCUUGACUACAAGGAAAAGUAGGAGUCCCACCAGGCUACAGGCGUCGCCCUCGGCGAUGAGAGUGGGUGGCGUCAUCUGGCUUUGAGCAAGAUGACAGCGAAGGAAGAAAAAACACAUCAAAGAAGUGGGUACAUUGGCGUCACACUGAGCAAGAAGCCUGACUUUGAGGGACAUUGGAGUUGGGGAGCAUUGUUGCCAACUGCCACGUUGGACAGAUGAUUGACAACACGUUGACGGGUAAAAUGUCCAGUUAUCAAAAGGUGAAGUCCAACCUCUUCAGAAUUGAAUUCUUAUUUUUUUCCUUUUCACCCCUCUUCUUUUUCAUCUGCUGUUUUUUUCUUGCGCGUCUAGCUUUUUUUCCUCAUUUUCUUUUUCCUCUUAUUGUCUUCUUCCUCUUCUUCGCAACGAGCACUGUCGUGUACUCAGCUUGUGUGCGUUGCUCCUCUGUGCAUGUUCAAAUGGCAGUGGUUUGACCGAUUAUGAUUUAGCAACGUCUAUGCUAAUGUUAGUUAGCCCAUCUAUGGCGUUUACCAUUAUGUUAGCAUUAGGCUAACAGACUUUUGUUCACCUAAUUUGUAUUAUAUUUUCAAUUGGAACAUUUCGGUGUCUAAAUAUACUUUGAUUCUUUUUUUGUCGUUGUUUUUGACAGUUUUACAGUAAACUCCAAGCCCGGAGAGACAAAUGGCUUGAAGCAAGCAUGCUUGUCUCAACACAUCAGACACUUUUUUUUUUAAUCCCCCAAAAAUGUCUCACCUCUCUACCGAUUCACACCUAUCCUUUAAACGCUAAGACUUUAUUUGUGUGGGCAAAUGUCUGUCUCAAUCAGACCGUGAUUGAUGAAUCAAUCAGUUUGAUUUAUUGGCUGUGACUUGCCGCUCCACUAAUUACUCUCGACUUCAUUUGUUCACUUUUUUCCAUCUCUCUCUCUCUCUCUCAUACAGACAUGCACUCACACUGAUGCAGGUGUGUAUUAUUCAAAACCAAACAUCAUCAUUCGUUUUCUAUCAUGAUGACUGCAAAGCACAAUGUUUCAAUGAAGCUCCUCAACUCAUAGUUCCUUAGUGCCAAAGUACCACAAGAGGGCAGCAAAGCACUACUUUUUGUCGAAAUGAACCCUAACCCCUUGGCUUCAGUGUGCCACAGAAUGGCAGUUAAAGCCCUACUUUUGUCCAAUCAAAGUUCCUCAACUGAUUUCUACCAGGAUCCCAUAAAAUUGCGUCCCCAAAAUGAAACUCCUCACUUUACUUAAACAUCGUGACUUGUCAGAGUAAUGCCACAAGAUGGUGGCAAAGCACAAUAUCGGUCUCAUAAAGCUCCUCAACUCACGUCAACACAGAUCCUCCAAUCCUUUGGAGCUGUUUACCCUGUUCAAGGAGUUAAGAGAAUUCACUGCCGCAAUUAGCGGUGACGUGGUAAAAAAAGUGUUUGACGUUUGUGUUGUCGUUUCUGUCUUUUGUGCGAAUUUAUUCCGACUUGCUGAAAUGCUUAAAAAAAAAUACCGCUUCCUUGGCUUUCGGAAGAGAUUGAUGCCGAACAAUUGAUUUUGACAUGUGCUGCUCAAGUUGCAGACGCUUGUUAAAUCACAAAGAGCAUUAAAGCUGAAAGCGGCCCUUUCUUCCUGUAAAUUCUCGAAAGGAUCUAUAUACUCUGAUGCCAGCCAGGCAGCGCCCAAAAAAGCUUUGCAAUAUCGUCCAUUUGUCGAGCAUACCUGUUUUCAAUUGGAAAAAAAAUCACCAGUAUUGGAAUUUGCCUCAAAAUGGCUGUUUCAAACAAACAGGGCUAGCUUCCUGUUCAAUUUUGGGCCUGCGUCAUUCAGACUUUUUCAAAUCUCCUGUCAUCAUAUACUUGUCUAUCAAUGAAACUGGUUUAUUUUCCGAUUGUGGAUUGUGGAAUAUGUCUUGCCGUCUGUUGUUUUUCUAUAGUUAUUCUCUUGAAAAUUUCAUUUUUGUUGAUAUUUUUGGGUGACUGGAACGAAUUAAUAGAUUGACAUUAUUUCCUAUGGGAGAUAUUGCUUUGGAUUUGACACCUGACUAGUCGUCGUAGACUUUCUGGAAUUGAUUGAUCACAAAAACUGUGGUUCGAUCUGCUUUUGCCAGGAUGCUCACCCCUUGAAAGAAUUUUCAGGUAUUUGGAGCACAAGAUUAUUAAUUGUGCCUGUUACUCCAGGAUGUUUUUCUGAGACCUCCCUGCUGGCUUCCCUCCCUACGGUGCAUCCUUGUUCAGGCUGACACUAAACAUCUGUUUGACUUGAGCACCUGCUGGAAAGAAAAGUGUCAAAAACUGACGGAGAAUUUAUUUUGAUGGGGGGGGGGCAUGACAAAUUGGGAACCAGGCGGGAAAAUCAUCCAUUAUGGAGACACAGGGCGGCUGUC